AUUGAACGCUGGCGGCAGGCCUAACACAUGCAAGUCGAACGGUAGCACAGAGGAGCUUGCUCCUUGGGUGACGAGUGGCGGACGGGUGAGUAAUGUCUGGGAAACUGCCCGAUGGAGGGGGAUAACUACUGGAAACGGUAGCUAAUACCGCAUAACGUCUUCGGACCAAAGUGGGGGACCUUCGGGCCUCACACCAUCGGAUGUGCCCAGAUGGGAUCAGCUAGUAGGUGGGGUAAUGGCUCACCUAGGCGACGAUCCCUAGCUGGUCUGAGGGGUUGACCAGCCACACUGGAACUGAGACACGGUCCAGACUCCUACGGGAGGCAGCAGUGGGGAAUAUUGCACAAUGGGCGCAAGCCUGAUGCAGCCAUGCCGCGUGUAUGAAGAAGGCCUUCGGGUUGUAAAGUACUUUCAGCGGGGAGGAAGGCGUUAAGGUUAAUAACCUUGGCGAUUGACGUUACCCGCAGAAGAAGCACCGGCUAACUCCGUGCCAGCCGCCGCGGUAAUAC
rnacentral:rRNA from 1 species